GGCUAGGUACACCCAAUAAUAGGAAGUAUUUUAGCAGAUUCACUAGAAUAUAUUCCUACGCACUUGAUUCAAAAUCAACCGCCUUCGGGUGUGCCGGUUCGAGUCCGGCCCUAGGCACCA
rnacentral:tRNA from 1 species